rnacentral:lncRNA from 1 species
AGCUUCAUGACGAACUAAAAUAAAAGCUUAUGACAGAAGAAACAUGCUUGGAUAGGCGUCCUUGUCGACCUCGCAGUCUCCAACCCAUCCUUAGGUAUUGCAGCUCCUUCCAAUCCAGUUUACUCCUUUUUGACAAUUUUCUUACUUGAGCCUUGGAGAUAUGCACUGAAUCGGCUAAUGUUUGCUCUGGGAAUUUCCUUUUGUAGAGAGGAUGUCUUGUCGAAUGUAGUUUUUAGUUCUUGAUCUUUUUUAUACAAGAUAUCUAAAUACUGUAAUUACUCUUGCUGGGAAGAAGGUUGUCAUGUAAGGGGAAAACUUUAGAAGUUACGCGACAUAAUUUAAACCAUGUGCAACUUGUUUGCUUCCUUGUUGUUUUAUUGCAUUCGAGAUCUUUACUAUUUUCACUGUCGAAAAUGCAGAGCAGAUCUUUAGUAUCUUGAAUUAUCAGUUAAAUUUGUUAGUUGUGAGAUGCAUAUGAUUCUGGCUUCAUUCACAACCAUUCAUGUGGUUUCUUCGGUUUGGUUGGUCGCUGCUGGUACUUCCAUGCCAUCUGAUUAUGUGGUAGAGUGCUUCGGAACUGUGUGUGGGGCCGGGUGUUGUCAGCCAGACCUGGGCGCCCUCGCCGGCGACUUGCUAUCUAACCCAUCCACAGGUUUUCCUACUCUUUGAUUUUCCUGUCCAAGUCCAUGAUUUGGUUUAUCUUGGUUGGCGUGCUUUUUUAUGUUACCUUGGUGGUCGAUGCAAUGAGAGGUGCAAAUGCAAGGCAAGACGACAUUAUAUAGGUUGUCCUGUGAGUUAGAAUAUCCAUGUGCUACUUAUUGUGGUGCGGCAUCAAGCAUGUUGAUUGAUUCUGAAGCAUGAGUAAACUGUAGUAAGCUGUGUGUACAGAUUCCUGAUUAUUCUGUAUGAUCCUCUAUUUUUUCCUUUAUGAUCCUCUUUAUUGUGGUGCGACACCAAACUUGGGUUAUUUACUUGCUUCCACUAUGAUUUCUGGGGAGGGCACUUUAUUGAUUUCUCAAACCUUGGAUCUAGACAUGUAAAUAGUUAAAUGAUUAUUUUGCUUUUCGAUUAAAUAUGAUACUAACUAAUCAUGUCUAUCUUAUACAAGCUUCAAUCUAUUCUAAAAAUUCUGUUUAUAAGGUACCAUCAGCUAUGACCCUAAUGGACCCCAAAUAAAAAGGAGAAAACAUUUGACACUUAUCGUGGCCAACCAUGAAACCGUGUUUCAGAAACUGCAUCAUAGCACAUAUUUCAACCAUCGUUUCCUGGUUUGUAAUAUGUACUAGCCUUCUGAAAAAGACUGAGGCUGCACUUGUUCCUGUCAGGUACUUGUAGCAAAUAUUUACUAACUUUUGUUCUUUCGAUCAGAUAACAAAAGUUUCUUGUCUCUUAAUAAAUUUUAGGUUGUCAUGUUACAAAAAGGCCUAUCUACAAAUAGGUGGACAAGAUAAAACAUUAAAAUAGACUAGAGCAUUUUCCAUCUCCAUUGAUAAGAAAUAGGUGAAAAGAAAUUAUACUUACUCUUUUCCUUCCUUGUGUAAAUUAAACCUCUUGUGAUGCUAUGUAGAAGAGGUAUAAUUUUUAUAUAUGGUGAAUCAUGAAGAAACUUAUAGCAUAGUUCUAUCAUCUAUGGUAUUGGUGAAUAGUAGUCAUAGUGGUUUAGGAUAGUUUUUCAUGUGUUGGCUAAUUGGUUAUUGGUUGUAAUUGUCAGUUUCUCUUCACAUAUGAACCAUGCAUACUUGCUGGUGGCUGAUCCAAAAAUGAUCUCAACCAAUAAAACUUUUAGCGAGUAUGUAAGAAUUGGAGUUCUGGAUAUGGAUAGCAGACUACUUUUCAUGGUACUCAGUUUCUUUAAUCCUGUACAUUUCGCAAAAAUAAUAUAUUCCUUUCGAUGUUUUGGAUUUUACCAUGUGAGUGCCUCUGGAGAGAUUGUUUAAUUGCUUUCUUAUGCUUCCACCUAUUUUCUUCCAGAACGAUGAUGUGCUUUCUGCUAAAAUUGUACACUAUGGUGUUGAUAAGCAUGAAUUAUUUGUUGUCCUCACAUACAGUUGUAAGCCUUAUCAACUUGAUCAUAGUGUUCUCUUUUUAUUUGUUAGCGGCAUGAUUGAAGGGCGAGACUACCAGCUGGUGAGGGAGAGGAUAUGUAUUCGGAGUGUCCUGAAGAGGUAGUCCACGAACCGGCAAUGGAGGAAAUAAGGUAGAGACGGCAAUAGCAGCAAGUACGUCAAGCGCUAGGGAUGUGGAUAUGGUGUGGCAUAAAGAGGUACUCCACAAAC